GUGGUCGCUUUGGCAGCACAUAUACUAAAAUUGGAAUGAUACAGAGAAGAUUAGCAUGGCCUCUGUGCAAGGAUGACAUGCAAAUUCGUAAAGCGUUCAAUAUACAU